rnacentral:rRNA from 1 species
CCCUUAGAUGCCCUGGGCCGCACGCGCGUUACACUGAUGCAUUCAACGAGCUUAUAACCUUGGCCGAGAGGCCCGGGCAAUCUUGUUAACGUGCAUCGUGAUAGGGAUAGAUUAUUGAAAUUAUUAAUCUUGAACGAGGAAUUCCUAGUAAACGCAGAUCAUCAAUCUGCAUUGAUUACGUCCCUGCCCUUUGUACACACCGCCCGUCGCACCUACCGAUUGGAUGGUCCGGUGAAGCCUCGGGAUUGUGGUUCUUGCCGCUUUAUUGUGGCGUGACCGCGAGAACUUGUCUAAACCUUAUCAUCUAGAGGAAGGUGAAGUCGUAACA